rnacentral:piRNA from 1 species
AAUACGUGCAGAGGAAAUUGGUUUU